GGAUUGCCUCAGUACGGCGAGUGAAGCGGCAAGAGCUCAAAUUUGAAAGCUGGCCCCUUCGGGGUCCGCGUUGUAAUUUGCAGAGGAUGCUUCGGGUGCAGCCCCCGUCUAAGUGCCCUGGAACGGGCCGUCAUAGAGGGUGAGAAUCCCGUCUGGGACGGGGUGUCUGCGUCCGUGUGAAGCUCCUUCGACGAGUCGAGUUGUUUGGGAAUGCAGCUCUAAAUGGGUGGUAAAUUUCAUCUAAAGCUAAAUACUGGCCGGAGACCGAUAGCGCACAAGUAGAGUGAUCGAAAGAUGAAAAGCACUUUGAAAAGAGAGUUAAACAGCACGUGAAAUUGUUGAAAGGGAAGCGUUUGCGACCAGACUCGCCCGCGGGGUUCAGCCGGCAUUCGUGCCGGUGUACUUCCCCGUGGGCGGGCCAGCGUCGGUUUGGGCGGCCGGUCAAAGGCCCUCGGAAUGUAUCACCUCUCGGGGUGUCUUAUAGCCGAGGGUGCAAUGCGGCCUGCCUGGACCGAGGAACGCGCUUCGGCUCGGACGCUGGCGUAAUGGUCGUAAAUGACCCGUCUUGGAAAACACGGACCAA
rnacentral:rRNA from 1 species